UACGUAGGUGGCAAGCGUUGUCCGGAAUUAUUGGGCGUAAAGCGCGCGCAGGCGGUUCUUUAAGUCUGAUGUGAAAUCUUAUGGCUUAACCAUAAGCGUGCAUUGGAAACUGGAGAGCUUGAGUACAGAAGAGGAGAGUGGAAUUCCUAGUGUAGCGGUGAAAUGCGUAGAUAUUAGGAGGAACACCAGUGGCGAAGGCGACUUACUGGACUGUAACUGACGCUGAGUCACGAAAGCGUGGGUAGCAAACAGGAUUAGA
rnacentral:rRNA from 1 species